rnacentral:miRNA from 1 species
GAGGAUCUGUCUAAUCUCAGAGG